UUCCAGAUUCUCUAGCACUAUCCAAAAGCACAAUGCCUUAUGUUUUCCCGAUGCGGGGAAGGAUGAGAAGCUUCGACCAAGGUUCGAUUCGAGCGUAGCGAGAAAGCGUUGCCGCAGGCAACGACCCGAAGGGCGAAGCGCGAAGCGCUGAGUAAUCCUUCCCCCACCACCA
rnacentral:sRNA from 1 species